AUUGAACGCUAGCGGGAUGCUUUACACAUGCAAGUCGAACGGCAGCGCGGACUUCGGUCUGGCGGCGAGUGGCGAACGGGUGAGUAAUGUAUCGGAACGUGCCCAGUAGCGGGGGAUAACUACGCGAAAGCGUGGCUAAUACCGCGAUACGCCUACGGGGAAAGGGGGGAGUUCUUCGGAACCUCUCACUAUUGGAGCGGCCGAUAUCGGGAUUAGUCUAGUUGGUGGGGUAAAGGCCUACCAAGGCG
rnacentral:rRNA from 1 species